AGUCAUACGCUCGUCUCAAAGAUUAAGCCAUGCAUGUGUAAGUAUAAAUAGUUAACUUUGAAACUGCGAAUGGCUCAUUAUAUCAGUUAUAGUUUAUUUGAUGAAGAAUACUAAUUGGAUAACCGUAGUAAUUCUAGAGCUAAUACAUGUAUAAAGUCUUGUAGACUGCAUUUAUUAGAAUGAAAACCAUAGGUUUCGGCCUAUUCGUGAGUAAUAAUAACUAAUCAUAUCGUAUGCUUAAGUAACGAUGUGUCUUUCAAGUUUCUGCCCUAUCAGCUUUCGAUGGUAGUGUAUUGGACUACCAUGGCAGUAACGGGUAACGAAGAAUUUGGGUUCGAUUUCGGAGAGGGAGCCUGAGAGAUGGCUGCCACAUCCAAGGAAGGCAGCAGGCGCGUAAAUUACCCAAUCCUGACACAGGGAGGUAGUGACAAUAAAUCACAAUGCGGAACAAUGUUUUGCAAUUGGAUUGAGAACAACGUACAAACCUUAUCGAUAAACAAUUGGAGGGCAAGUCUGGUGCCAGCAGCCGCGGUAAUUCCAGCUCCAAUAGCGUAUAUUAA
rnacentral:rRNA from 1 species